rnacentral:rRNA from 1 species
UACGAAGGGGGCUAGCGUUGCUCGGAAUGACUGGGCGUAAAGGGCGCGUAGGCGGAUGGCACAGUCAGAUGUGAAAUUCCCGGGCUUAACCUGGGGGCUGCAUUUUGAUACGUGUUGUCUUGAGUUCGGAAGAGGGCCGUGGAAUUCCCAGUGUAGAGGUGAAAUUCGUAGAUAUUGGGGAAGAACACCGGUGGCGAAGGCGGCGCCUGGUCCGACACUGACGCUGAGGCGCGAAAAGCGUGGGGGAGCAAACAGG